AAACCAACAGGGAUUGCCUCAGUAGCGGCGAGUGAAGCGGCAAAAGCUCAAAUUUGAAAUCUGGUAGUUCUGCUACCCGAGUUGUAAUUUGUAGAAGACUGUCUUUGUAAGGGUGCCUGUCUAAGUUCCUUGGAACAGGACGUCGCAGAGGGUGAGAAUCCCGUGUGAUGGGUGGCCCGAACUUUUAAGACGUUUUCGAAGAGUCGAGUUGUUUGGGAAUGCAGCUCUAAGUGGGUGGUAAAUUCCAUCUAAAGCUAAAUAUUGGCGAGAGACCGAUAGCGAACAAGUACAGUGAUGGAAAGAUGAAAAGAACUUUGAAAAGAGAGUGAAACAGUACGUGAAAUUGUUGAAAGGGAAGGGUAUUUGAUCCGACAUGGGAUUUACUCAUCAUUGCUCCUUGUGGGUGGUGCUCUGGGUUUUUUCUGGGCCAGAAUCAGUUUGUGUGGCAGGAUAAAGGCUUGGGGAAGUAACUCUUCUGGAGUAAUAUAACCCUUGUUAAUGCUGCCUAUGCGGACUGAGGAAUGCGGUAUUUUACCAAGGAUUCUGGCAUAACGAUUAAAUACCGC
rnacentral:rRNA from 1 species